GACGAAGGGGGCUAGCGUUGUUCGGAAUUACUGGGCGUAAAGCGCGUGUAGGCGGUUAUCCAAGUCGGGUGUGAAAGCCUUGAGCUCAACUCAAGAAAUGCACUCGGUACUGGGUGACUAGAGGACCGGAGAGGAUAGUGGAAUUCCCAGUGUAGUGGUGAAAUACGUAGAGAUUGGGAAGAACACCAGUGGCGAAGGCGGCUCUCUGGGACCGAGACUGACGCUGAGGCGCGAAAGCGUGGGAGCAAACAGG
rnacentral:rRNA from 1 species